UGAGCUGGGUGACAAUAAUCCCACAAGUCUCUGAGUCCUGUCCACCCUUGCCAACCCUCCACUCAUGGUACCAUGCUGAGAAUGAGGUAGAGGACAAGAGAGGGAGGCAAAGAGGUACUCGUCAGAAAACUGACAAGGCUUGGUGGCUGACUGGCUGGAGAAACAGUAAAUGACCCAUCCGUGAGGAUUCCAAAGUAUUCAGCCUGAGAACAAGGAGAAUUGGUGAACAGCAAAGACAGAAGUACGGGUCUGGAAUGGAGCAGUACGCAACUUGCCUCGGGAAUCGUGUUUGCUAGUAACAAGGUCCAGCCAGGGUUGCUUAAACACGUGAGUGUUUAAGUCUGUAUAAGACUUCACAGUCGUACGUCUGUAGCUCCAGGGCUAGUUUAGCAGCUCUGCUGCCCUUGGGACAUUGCUGUCUUUCGCUCUAUCAUCUUUAAAUUCUCCUUCUGGCUCAAAAUAGCUACUGGAAUUCCACUUGCUACAUCUGAAUUCCAGGAAGUCAUUGAAAAAUGAGUGCGGGACCAAAAGGGCAUAGGAUUCCCACCCUUUCAAGGAAUCCUCCUAGAAAUCCCCUGCCACCCUUGUGCUUGUGUCUCAGUAGCCAAAACUUAGUCACAGGGCUUUACAUGGCUACACCAAGCUGCAAGGGAGACCGGCAAAUGCAGGGUUUUUAGCUAGGCUUGUUGUCCGGGGCCGUUACUGAGGAAGAAAGGAAGGACAGACAGUGGGAAGCAACCAGCAGGUUUUGUUAAUCUUUGUUCAGUGGCACUGGAAGGAAAGGCCUCCGAAAGCCCUGCCAACCAUGGAAGAAAGUGCAAACCAUGCUUUCUGGUACCUCACAGCGAUCCUCUACCGGGUCCCGGUUCCUUACAUGAACCGCUGCUGAGCUUUUCAAUCGCCGUGAAGAGGAAACGGAUUCCUGGCUCUCUGGCCACUCUCAGCGUGGAGGAUUUCUCCAAAGCUGGUUCAUCAGAAUGCAGCAGCUCCUGCCUGCAUCCAGGAGAGGUGCCAUAAAAAUAGAUGAAAGCUAGGAGUUCAGCGCAGCAAUUUAGGAAACAAUUUGGGCCUUUCAGAAAUUAAUGUUAUUUAAAGAUGCAGAUUCAUCCUCCCCAGUGGCCUCCUGGGAGUGCUUCCCGAACCAUCUGGUUCAAUCAGCUCAUUUUCUUGCCCUAAUCCUCUGGCUCUCCUGUGUGUAUGUACAGCAAAUGCUCCUGGGGAGCUCGCAGCAUGAAUAAAAAGCAAAGACCUUUCUCUUUCGCCA